GUAAUUUUAAAACAAUUGCAUAAUGGGUCAGUGCAUCUGGCUGUUAACCAGAAGGUUGGUGGUUCGAGCCCACCCUGGGACA